rnacentral:rRNA from 1 species
AUUGAACGCUGGCGGCAGGCUUAACUCAUGCAAGUCGAGCGGAGAUGAGGUGCUUGCACCUUAUCUUAGCGGCGGACGGGUGAGUAAUGCUUAGGAAUCUGACUAUUAGUGGGGGACAACAUUCCGAAAGGAAUGCUAAUACCGCCUACGUCCUACGGGAGAAGGCAGGGGAUCUUCGGACCUUGCGAUAAUAGAUGAGCCUAAGUCGGAUUAGCUAGUUGGUGGGGUAAAGGCCUACCAAGGCGACGAUCUGUAGCGGGUCUGAGAGGAUGAUCCACCAGCCUGGGACUGAUACACGGCCCAGACUCCUACGGGAGGCAGCAGUGGGGAAUAUUGGACAAGGGGGGUAACCCUGAUCCAGCCAUGCCGCGUGUGUGAAGAAGGCCUUAUAGUUGUAAAGCACUUUAAGCGAGGAGGAGGCUACUGAGACUAAUACUCUUGGAUAGUGGACGUUACUCGCAGAAUAAGCACCGGCUAACUCUGUGCCAGCAGCCGCCGUAA